rnacentral:rRNA from 1 species
GACGAACGCUGGCGGCGUGCUUAACACAUGCAAGUCGAACGGUGAAGCGCUUUCCUUUUUGGCUGGUGUGGAUGAGUGGCGAACGGGUGAGUAACACGUGAGUAACCUGCCCCCUUCUUCUGGAUAACCGCAUGAAAGUGUGGCUAAUACGGGAUAUUCUGCGCCUGCUGCAUGGUGGGUGUGGGAAAGAUUGUGCCUUUGGGUGUUUUCGGUGGGGGAUGGGCUCGCGGCCUAUCAGCUUGUUGGUGGGGUGAUGGCCUACCAAGGCGGUGACGGGUAGCCGGCCUGAGAGGGUGGACGGUCACACUGGGACUGAGACACGGCCCAGACUCCUACGGGAGGCAGCAGUGGGGAAUAUUGCACAAUGGGCGCAAGCCUGAUGCAGCGACGCCGCGUGAGGGAUGGAGGCCUUCGGGUUGUGAACCUCUUUCGCCAGUGAAGCAGGCCUGCUCCUUGUGGGUGGGUUGACGGUAGCUGGAUAAGAAGCGCCGGCUAACUACGUG